ACGCUCGACACCUACAGAGGCAGCAGUGGGGAAUAUUGCACAAUGGGGGAAACCCUGAUGCAGCGACGCCGCGUGAGCGAAGAAGUAUUUCGGUAUGUAAAGCUCUAUCAGCAGGGAAGAAAAUGACGGUACCUGACUAAGAAGCCCCGGCUAACUACGUGCCAACAGCCGCGGUAAUCUGAGCGGGCUGGCAAGGC
rnacentral:rRNA from 1 species